GAUGAACGCUGGCGGCGUGCUUAACACAUGCAAGUCGAACGAUGAAGCCCAGCUUGCUGGGUGGAUUAGUGGCGAACGGGUGAGUAACACGUGGGCAACCUGCCCCAAACUCUGGGAUAACUCCUCGAAAGAGGUGCUAAUACCGGAUACGAACUAGGUAGACAUCUGCACUAGUUGGAAAGUUUUUCGGUUUGGGAUGGGCCCGCGGCCUAUCAGCUUGUUGGUGAGGUAACGGCUCACCAAGGCUACGACGGGUAACCGGCCUGAGAGGGCGACCGGUCACACUGGGACUGAGACACGGCCCAGACUCCUACGGGAGGCAGCAGUGGGGAAUAUUGCACAAUGGGCGAAAGCCUGACGCAGCGACGCCGCGUGAGGGAUGAAGGUCUUCGGAUCGUAAACCUCUUUCAGUAGGGACGAAGCGAAAGUGACGGUACCUAAAGAAGAAGCACCGGCUAACUACGUGCCAGCAGCCGCCGCCG
rnacentral:rRNA from 1 species